rnacentral:rRNA from 1 species
GAUGAACGCUGGCGGCGUGCUUAACACAUGCAAGUCGAACGGAAAGGCCCAAGCUUGCUUGGGUACUCGAGUGGCGAACGGGUGAGUAACACGUGGGUGAUCUGCCCUGCACUUCGGGAUAAGCCUGGGAAACUGGGUCUAAUACCGGAUAGGACGAUGGUUUGGAUGCCAUUGUGGAAAGUUUUUUCGGUGUGGGAUGAGCUCGCGGCCUAUCAGCUUGUUGGUGGGGUAAUGGCCUACCAAGGCGUCGACGGGUAGCCGGCCUGAGAGGGUGUACGGCCACAUUGGGACUGAGCUACGGCCCAGACUCCUACGGGAGGCAGCAGUGGGGAAUAUUGCACAAUGGGCGCAAGCCUGAUGCAGCGACGCCGCGUGGGGGAUGACGGCCUUCGGGUUGUAAACUCCUUUCGCUAGGGACGAAGCGUUUUUGUGACGGUACCUGGAGAAGAAGCACCGGCUAACUACGUG